AACGUAGGGGGCGAGCGUUGUCCGGAAUUACUGGGCGUAAAGAGCGUGUAGGCGGUCUGUUAAGUCAGGUGUGAAACCUCCGGGCUCAACCGGGAGCGUGCACCUGAAACUGGUAGACUUGAGAGCAGGAGAGGAAAGUGGAAUUCCUAGUGUAGCGGUGAAAUGCGUAGAUAUUAGGAAGAACACCAGUGGCGAAGGCGGCUUUCUGGCCUGUAACUGACGCUGAGACGCGAAAGCCAGGGUAGCGAACGGGAUUAGAUACCCUGGUAGUCCCUGAG
rnacentral:rRNA from 1 species